rnacentral:rRNA from 1 species
AUUGAACGCUGGCGGCAUGCCUUACACAUGCAAGUCGAACGGCAGCGGACCUUCGGGUGCCGGCGAGUGGCGAACGGGUGAGUAAUAUAUCGGAACGUACCUUUCAGUGGGGGAUAACGUAGCGAAAGUUACGCUAAUACCGCAUAUUCUGUGAGCAGGAAAGCAGGGGAUCGCAAGACCUUGCGCUGAUUGAGCGGCCGAUAUCAGAUUAGCUAGUUGGUGAGGUAAAGGCUCACCAAGGCGACGAUCUGUAGCGGGUCUGAGAGGAUGAUCCGCCACACUGGAACUGAGACACGGUCCAGACUCCUACGGGAGGCAGCGGUGGGGAAUUUUGGACAAUGGGCGCAAGCCUGAUCCAGCCAUGCCGCGUGAGUGAAGAAGGCCU